UAAGCGCCGGUAAGGUGAUAUGAACCGUUAUAACCGGCGAUUUCCGAAUGGGGAAACCCAGUGUGACUCGUCACACUAUCAUUAACUGAAUCCAUAGGUUAAUGAGGCGAACCGGGGGAACUGAAACAUCUAAGUACCCCGAGGAAAAGAAAUCAACCGAGAUUCCCCCAGUAGCGGCGAGCGAACGGGGAGGAGCCCAGAGCCUGAAUCAGCAUGUGUGUUAGUGGAAGCGUCUGGAAAGGCGCGCGAUACAGGGUGACAGCCCCGUACACAAAAGCGCAUGUGCUGUGAGCUCGAUGAGUAGGGCGGGACACGUGGUAUCCUGUCUGAAUAUGGGGGGACCAUCC
rnacentral:rRNA from 1 species